UGCUACUUUCCAGAGUUUUCAGCUGU
rnacentral:piRNA from 1 species